UGUAGGAACUGGACCACACAGCAGGAGGUGAGCAGCUGCUGAGCCAAGAAGCUUCAUCUGUAUUUACAGCUGCUCCCUAUUGCUCCAAUUAUCUCCUGAGCUCCACCUCCUGUCAGAUCAGCUGAGGCAUUAGAUUCUCACAGGAGCACAAACCUAUUGUGAACUGUUCGUGCACGUCAGGGAUCUAGCUUGUGUAAGCUACUUAAGAAUCUAAUGCCUGAUGAUCUGAGGUGGAACAGUUUCAUCCCAAAUCCAUCCCUCUGUUACUGGAAAGGGGUCUGGAUCCAGACCCCAAAAGAGAGUUCUUGGAUCUCACGCAAAAAAGAAUUCAAGUUAGAUCACCAACUCCUGAAGAACAGGAACGAUGGUGUCUUUCAUCUUCAGAGCUGUGGUGCCUGGCACACAGUGGGGAGUCAGCAAAUGUUUCCAGCUGACAGAUUCUGAGUAUCCCCAUGGCCGGCCAUCUGUAAUUUCUCCAAGUGAUCAAGGAAGAAGAAUGGACUCUGCUUUCUUACUCCCUCCUCUGUGGCUGGUAGUUUAGGGCUAUAAUGGGUAUUAAUGUUAUAGGAUUGACAAAUAUAUGUUGAUUCCCUCUCCAUCUCCCUUUCUGUGGAUGCUGCCCACAGUCUGUGCUGCUAACCACACAACACAACUCAAGACAUUUGCAUUUUAUACCUAAAGACUUGAGCACUAGAGCCAUUUCACAGUGAUGGACUGCAUUAUCAGGUUACCCACGACAUUUUUAGUUGUAACUUUAUUAAAACCAUCAUUGCAUCCAAGUCAGUUAUGAGUAAUAAAGUAGAUAAUUUUCAGAAAAAAAUGAUGUUUUAAAGAAUUUCAAUAUUUUUGCUUUAGGAAUACAUUGUUUAAUACGUAUCUGUCACUGAAAGUCAACACUCAAUCAGUUGUAACCACAAGCUAAACUAAAAUAUACUGAUGAUGGUAUCAUGCUGAUAUAAGAAUAUACUACCUAUCAAUGUCAUCCAGGUAAAUAAAUGACUAUUCUUCAGGACUUGAGUCAUAUUUGGCCUAGCUCCAGUAACUGCACUCCUAACCACCACCCUUGGGCUCACUUGCUUAUAAGAUGUCAAAGCACUACACAACCUUUAUAAAACAGGGUGGUAUGGCUGUAAUAAUAGAUAAAUAGACCAUUGGAACAGAAAAUAGAUUCCAAAAAGUCAUCUACAUCUAUAAGAGAAUUUGGUAGACGAUGAUGAUAUGGGAAAGAUAAGUCAUUCAAUAAAUAAGGUUUAGAAAAUAGAAUGAUUUGGGAGGGAAAUUGUGAUCUGAUUUCAAACAACAUACAAAGAUAAUUUUUGAAU
rnacentral:lncRNA from 10 species